rnacentral:rRNA from 1 species
AUUGAACGCUGGCGGCAGGCUUAACACAUGCAAGUCGAGCGGAGAUGAGGUGCUUGCACCUUAUCUUAGCGGCGGACGGGUGAGUAAUGCUUAGGAAUCUGCCUAUUAGUGGGGGACAACAUUCCGAAAGGAAUGCUAAUACCGCAUACGCCCUACGGGGAAAGCAGGGGAUCUUCGGACCUUGCGCUAAUAGAUGAGCCUAAGUCGGAUUAGCUAGUUGGUGGGGUAAAGGCCUACCAAGGCUACGAUCUGUAGCGGGUCUGAGAGGAUGAUCCGCCACACUGGGACUGAGACACGGCCCAGACUCCUACGGGAGGCAGCAGUGGGGAAUAUUGGACAAUGGGCGGAAGCCUGAUCCAGCCAUGCCGCGUGUGUGAAGAAGGCCUUUUGGUUGUAAAGCACUUUAAGCGAGGAGGAGGCUACCUGGAUUAAUACUCUAGGAUAGUGGACGUUACUCGCAGAAUAAGCACCGGCUAACUCUGUGCCAGCCGCCGCCGUAAUAC